UCCCUUCCGGGGAAUAGAAGAGCUUUUUGAAUUUGUUUCUGGAGGCUAAAGCUUAUCGGAGUCCCUCGUUCUCUUCUCGGUUCACCGUGAGUCUCUCGGUAGAAAGAGGGCCUACCUCAGUCUUUUAGGCCGGGAAAGGUAAUCGACGCCGCGCACGCACUCCUGCCCGCAAGCCAGCCGGCGUCAGCCGCGGGAUCCGAAGAGGAAGCCAAGCACAGGGCAGUGUGGCCGGCCUGUGGCCAGCUCUACAGGCCGGUAGGAAGUGACCGUCCAGCCCUGGUUCCCUGGGCCCAACGCUUUGACCCAGUUAGUAUCGGGGCUGGUUUCCUGUCCUGGCCCGGGACGCUGGCAUGGACCCUUGCUUGGUUACCUGCUGUACCAUGCUAUCUUGCAAUAUAUGUGGUGUAACAGUAACCUCAGAACCAGACAUGAAGGCUCACCUCCUAAUUGUUCACAUGGAAAAUGAAGUUACAUGUCCAUUUUGCAAGUUGUCAGGUGUGAAUUAUGAUGAAAUGUGUUUUCAUAUUGAAACUGCUCAUUUUGAGCAAAAUGAACUAGAAAAAAACUUUGAGAGGAUUAAUACAAUACAGUAUGGAACUUCAAGUAGCAGGAAGGACAGCACCCUACAGUGUAGAAUGGAAGUUAAUUCAAGUAUUCAUUCAGCUUGUGCAUCUAAUCAUCCGAAAAUUUCAGCUCCAGGCCCGCCUAAUAAUGGUGUUUUAAAACAUAAAGGCUUUUAUUCAGAGAACUUAACUGAAUCUAGAAAAUUCGUGAAAAGUAAGGAAAAACAGUCUGACCGAACUAAAAUUAAAGGAUCAAUUUAUGAAGCAAUGUAUAGUCCUCCUGAAUGUCCAUUCUGUGGAAAAAUAGAAGGUUGUAGUCAAGAUAUGGAAACUCAUGUGAAAACAGAGCAUGCUGAUCUUUUAGACACUCCAUUAGAAGAUUGUAAUCAACCACUCUAUGACUGCCCUAUAUGUGGGCUCAUCUGUACAAAUUACCAUAUUCUCCAGGAACAUGUUGACUUGCAUUUGGAAGAAAGCAGCUUUGGACAAGGUAUGGAUAGAGUCCAGUGUUCUAGAGAUCUAGAAUUGGCUCAACAGCUUCAACAAGAAGAAGACAGAAAGAGGAGAUCUGAAGAAUCAAGACAAGAAAUGGAAGAAUUUCAGAAGCUGCAGAGACAGUAUGGUUUAAAUAAUUCUGGAGGGUACAAACAACAGCAGCUACGAAAUAUGGAGAUAGAAGUAAAUAGGGGAAGAAUGCAUCCAUCUGAAUUUCAUAGAAGAAAAGCUGAUAUGAUGGAAUCACUAGCUGUUGGUAUUGAUGAUGAAAAAACAAAAACUUCUGGAAUUAUGGAAGCACUUUAUAGGUAUUAUCAGAAUGCUGCCACAGAUGUGAGGCGUGUGUGGCUUUCUACAGUAGUGGAUCACUUUCAUUCAUCUUUUGGUGACAAAGGCUGGGGUUGUGGUUACAGAAAUUUCCAAAUGCUGCUUUCAUCAUUAUUGCAAAAUGAUGCAUAUGAUGAUUGCUUGAAAGGCGUGUCAGUUCCUUGCAUUCCAAAAAUUCAGUCUAUGAUUGAAGAUGCAUGGAAGGAAGGUUUUGAUCCCCAGGGUGCCUCUCAACUUAAUAACAGGUUACAGGGAACAAAGGCCUGGAUUGGAGCAUGUGAAGUAUAUACACUUCUGACCUCCCUAAGGAUAAAGUGUCGUAUUAUUGACUUUCACAAGUCAACUGGCCCUUUGGGUACACACCCUCGCUUAUUCGAAUGGAUAUUGAGCUACUAUUCUUCAGAGAGAGAAGGGAGUCCAAAAGUAGUGUGUACAUCUAAACCUCCUAUCUAUCUUCAGUAUCAAGGUCAUAGUCAAACAGUUGUUGGAAUUGAAGAGAGAAAAAACCGAACAUUAUGUCUACUAGUAUUUGAUCCUGGAUGUCCUUCUCGAGAAAUGCAGAAACUCUUAAAACAAGACACAGAAGCUAGCAGUGUCAAGCAACUUCGGAAAUUUGUGGGGAAUUUAAAACAUAAGCAGUACCAGAUAGUGGCAGUAGAGGGUGUUCUUUCUUCAGAGGAGAAAAUUGCCAGGAGACAAGCUUCUCAAGUCUUUACAGCUGAGAAGAUCCCUUGAAGAAUGCUGCGUGGCUUAUGGGAUCUUAGCUCCCUGACCAGGGGUUGAACCAGCACAGCCUGCACUGGAAGGCGAAGUCUUAACCACUGGACCGCCAGGGGGGUCGAGUCUUCCAUGGAAGGAGUCAAGAGAAAAAAAGUUCUGGAUGAAGGGGGCGUGCAGAUAUGGAAGGAGGCAACGCAAGGCAGUGGCUUUGCUUAGGUCUGCUAGGCGAUUUCUGGGUCCUAGUCGCUCUGCAAGUCGCAGCGUCCUAUCUCCAUAGCAACCCCAGGCAGGGUUCCCCCUAAGAGAAAUAACACACAUCUGUUGCCAGGAUUCUAGGGAGGAGACCAAGAAAGAUGAAAAUCCUAGAUUUGUGAUUUGGUGGAGCCUCUGCUCCUCUACCUAGCUCAGCCAAUCCAAUCUGCAGUCCAUCAGUCGCGGUUGGAAAUCUGAGAACUGGUCCGACGCAGAGAGGAGGAGCCGCGACCCGGCGGGAUGAUUUUCAGAGUCUGAUAGUUUGAUUCAAGUUGCACGUUGAAGAGUACCAUCGGAGACUGGAAACAUCACUUGACCAUGGAGCAAAAUGAAACAUUUGACAGAGUAUUCCAAAGGAAGAUGAAAUAUUUUCCCUUGAAUUUCAUCUGGGACAUAAAUGAGGAGUAGAAUCAAUACAAAAGAAUCAUAAAAAUCUAAAAAUCUACUAAAACUCAUAAAAAUCUACUAAAAAUCAUAAAAAUCUACUAAAACUCAUAAAAAUCUACUAAAUUUACUAGUCUACUAAUCAUACUAAUCUACUAAAUCUACUAAAUGCCAUUGUUACAUAUCAGAAAUCUUAGAUUUAGUAGAUUCCAACUUAAUCCUUAAAAGUGAGCUAAAAGGCAAGACAAGAAUAUCAAAGAGUUUUCAGUUCUACAGUCAGACCAGGUUUUGCAUCAUAAUGCUAAUGCUUACUAAAUAUUUGCCCUUGGGAAAUUUAGUUCACCUCCCUACACCUCUUGUUUUCUUAUUUAUGAAAUGACACUUACUUCAUUCAUUUUUUGUUAAUAAUAAAGGAGAUAAUUCAUGUGAAAAUCUAACUCCAUUCUGGUAUGCAGAAGGUGCCAAUAUUUAUUUUUUUAAGCACAAGAUUUCAUUUCCAUUGCUAAUCCAAAUUCUGUUUGAGAAGAAAAAAAGAAAGGAGGAGAAAAGGAACGUUUCUCUCCAGACGUAUAACAUUCCUAAGCCAACACUUGUGGAAGUUACGAGCACUUCGAUCAAAGGAGUUCAGAAAGACGGGAGGUGGUGAACCAGGGGUGGGGCACAAGGGAUGAGAAAUUCUUUUCUAUGCAAGAAUCAGAGCCCUUUAUAUCCUAGUUUAAAGCAGCAUCUUAUGAAAAUCACUGUUUUUCUUAGGAAAGAUAGAGUGAUGAGCAAUUGAAAUGAAAGCAAGUGAGGCAGCCAGCCUUCCUACGUUGGCCAUGAAUCAGCAGAGAGAUACAAGUGAGUGCAGAAUCUGAUGGUUGGAGCUGGUGGCAUCCACUCCACUGCUGGCCUCAGACUAAAUGCAUUGCUUCUCGUUCAACCAGACUUAAUACCAGAAACCCAGAUUAUAGAGGAGCAGGCAAAAAUCCAGGAGCAGAAGAUAACGAAUUCAUCAGAUGUUAUGAUCUCUUUUGCCCAAGAACUCAGGAAUUACUAAAAGUCAAGUAAAAGGAUUCCAUAAUUAUAUGCCAAAACAGUAAGAGGAAUCCACUUUUAAUCUGAAACUGAGGAAUCCCUGGAAAUGAACAGGCUACAGAUGCCAAAGAUGUGAACUUAAGGGAAAUCUUUCAUCUUCCUGUGGAAAAGCUUGUGAAAUUUGGGUUCUGCUCCAGAUUCAUGUGAUCUUCAAGUCUCCAAUUGUAUAUGAGAAGAAAAACAAAGAGAUGGCUUCAGUGAAGUUUUGGGGGAACAGGAACAUGAUAACUUAGUGUUGGAUAAAACAUUAUUUUCCCACUUUUAUUUUUAUUUCCACUAAGUUCCCAGUUACUCUUCCACAUAGCCAUGGCUCUGCCAGCUUAUGGCAAGAAGGCAAACUUAUCAUUGGAAUUAUACUAUUGUUAGAUUUAAUUAGCCUCCCUACUCAGCUGUCAGCCACCUGGGAAAAAGGAAAAUUAAUAAAACAGGAUCACAAAUUUUUUCCAGGCUAACAUUGGUUAUUGUAUCUUACAGUCCUUUAAAAAUUCCAUAAGAUCAUAUAUCAUUGAGCUAACAUUUACUGAUGAGGGCAAGCAAGGGACAAGACCAGAUAUCUUUGAGCUAAUAUCUACUGAUGAGGACAUGGGUGGUCAGAGAGGUUAUUAAAAGCAGCCCACAUUUACACAGUUUAUAAUGGCAGACUUGAAUUCACUCCAUCUUUUCCUUAUUUAAGUAUGAGACAGCCUUAAACUAAACUUACAGAGAUACAAAGUUGCCAUGACAAAUAGAAGCUGAUAGGAGAGGCCAGAAAAGAAGCACUGAUUUUAGAAACACACUGCACUGAGAAUAAACAACUAAAGUAAAGUGAAACACUGAAAAAUUGGAAAACACAAACAAAAACCUAGUGCAGGAGUGGAAAAGCCAAUGCAAAUGAUGUUCAGGCAGGUAACCCCCAAGAGAGAAGUGUUUGUGCAUCUGCAAAGUGAACAUGGGUAUAUGCUUCACUUCCACAAAGAUAUUUUGCUCCUACUAUCAAUAUUUUUCUUCUUAGCCAUUUCAGUCUCUAAUUUUCAGGUUUUGUUAAAGUCAUAGAAGCACAGAAAGUUUUCUUUUUUCAAAAACCAAAACAUGCAAAGCAGUUGACAAUCGCCUUAGAAUCUUGAACACAAUAGAAUGUGCUGGGACAAACAGGAAAGAAUAUGUGCCCUCAUCAGGUAGGCUGCAUUGUCACCAGUGCUUCAUAUUUUCAAGAAGAGGGAAAGAGACAACCUGAGAGGAAAGGAAAGAAAUACUAACUUAGGGAAGUCAAACUCAACAUUUAUUGCUAUUUGACAUAGAGGCAUAUUACCCUAUAAUUAAUUCCAGUA